UGGCGUGGUUCAGACAUGCAAGUCGAGCGCGACUUAUUCUGUAGCAAUACAGGGUAAGUUGAGCGGCGAAAGGGUGCGUAACACGUGGGUAAUCUGCCGUGAAGUUGGGGAUAACUCGCUGAAAGGCGAGCUAAUACCGAAUGUGAAAAUUGGAAGGCAUCUUCUGAUUUUUAAAGUUGGGGAUCGUAAGACCUGACGCUUCAUGAUGAGCCCGCGGCCUAUCAGCUAGUUGGUGAGGUAAAAGCUUACCAAGGCUAAGACGGGUAGCUGGUCUGAGAGGACGACCAGCCACACUGGAACUGAGACACGGUCCAGACACCUACGGGUGCCAGC
rnacentral:rRNA from 1 species